AGCAGCCGCGGUAAUUCCAGCUCCAAUAGCGUAUAUUAAAGUUGCUGCAGUUAAAAAGCUCGUAGUUGAAUUUCGGGACCAAUAUGUCGGUCGUGCCUCGGUACGUACUGGCAUCGUUGGUUUCUCCUUUCUGAAGAACCAUGAUGUCAUUUAUUUGGUGUCGUGGGGAAUCAGGACUGUUACUUUGAAAAAAUUAGAGUGUUUAAAGCAGGCUCACGCUUGAAUACAUUAGCAUGGAAUAAUGAAAUAGGACGUUUGAUUCUAUUUUGUUGGUUUCUAGGAUCGACGUAAUGAUUAAUAGGGAUAGUUGGGGGCAUUAGUAUUCAAUUGCCAGAGGUGAAAUUCUUGGAUUUAUUGAGGACUAACUACUGCGAAAGCAUUUGCCAAGGAUGUUUUCAUUAAUCAAGAACGAAAGUUAGGGGAUCGAAGACGAUCAGAUACCGUCGUAGUCUUAACCAUAAACUAUGCCGACUAGGGAUCGGAUGAUGUUAAUUUUUUUAAUGACUCAUUCGGCGCCUUA
rnacentral:misc_RNA from 1 species